rnacentral:rRNA from 1 species
GACGAACGCUGGCGGCGUGCUUAACACAUGCAAGUCGAACGAUGGAGCUGGAGCUUGCUCCGGUGGAUUAGUGGCGAACGGGUGAGUAACACGUGAGUAAUCUGACCUUGACUCUGGGAUAACUGCGGGAAACUGUAGCUAAUACAGGAUACGACACCUUCGGGCAUCCGAUGGGUGUGGAAAGGCUUUCGGUCAAGGGUGAACUCGCGGCCUAUCAGCUAGUUGGUGAGGUAAUGGCUCACCAAGGCGACGACGGGUAGCCGGCCUGAGAGGGUGACCGGCCACACUGGGGCAGGGACACGGCCCAGACGCCUACGGGGGGCAGCAGUGGGGAAUAUUGCACAUGGGCGAAAGCCUGAUGCAGCAACGCCGCGUGAGGGAUGAAGGCCUUCGGGUUGUAAACCUCUUUUAGUUGGGAAGAAGCGAAAGUGACGGUACCAACAGAAAAAGCACCGGCUAACUACGUGCCAGCAGCCGCAGUAA